rnacentral:misc_RNA from 1 species
GAUGAAGAACGUAGCGAAAUGCGAUAAGUAAUGUGAAUUGCAGAAUUCAGUGAAUCAUCGAAUCUUUGAACGCACCUUGCGCUCUUUGGUAUUCCGAAGAGCAUGCCUGUUUGAGUGUCAUGAAAAUAUCAACCUUGACUUGGGUUUUGUGCUCUAGUCUCAGCUUGGAAUUGGGUGCUUGCCGCUUUUACGAGCGGCUCACCUUAAAUGUAUUAGCUGGAUCUGUCUUUGAGACUUGGUUUGACUUGGCGUAAUAAGUAUUUCGCUAAGGACAUUCUUCGGAGUGGCCUCGUUUCUAGGACGCUUGUCCGCUUUCCAAUACAAGUUCCACCUCGUGGACAUGACUUUUUAUUAUCUGGCCUCAAAUCAGGUAGGACUACCCGCUGAACUUAAGCAUAUCAAUAAGCGGAGGA